rnacentral:rRNA from 1 species
UCAGGAUGAACGCUAGCGACAGGCUUAACACAUGCAAGUCGAGGGGCAGCACGGGAGUAGCAAUACAACUGGUGGCGACCGGCGCACGGGUGAGUAACGCGUAUGCAACCUACCUAUCAGGAGGGGAAUAACCCGGCGAAAGUCGGACUAAUACCGCAUAAAACAGGGGCACCGCAUGGUGAUAUUUGUUAAAGAAAUUCGCUGAUAGAUGGGCAUGCGUUCCAUUAGGUAGUUGGUGAGGUAACGGCUCACCAAGCCGACGAUGGAUAGGGGAACUGAGAGGUUGGUCCCCCACACUGGUACUGAGACACGGACCAGACUCCUACGGGAGGCAGCAGUGAGGAAUAUUGGUCAAUGGGCGGGAGCCUGAACCAGCCAAGUCCGCGUGAAGGAAGAAGGAUCUAUGGUUCGUAAACUUCUUUUGCAGGGGAAUAAAGUGCAGGACGUGUCCUGUUUUGUAUGUACCCUGAGAAUAAGGAUCGGCUAACUCCGUGCCAGCCGCCGC